UUUUUUCUUCUCUCUCUUCCAUCUCUUAAUUUUCUUCUCUCGUCGGCCGCCGCCUCCUACCCAUCAUCAUCUGUGUUCCCUUCUCUUAAUUGUUUGUUCUUAUUUUUUUUCUUCUUCCCUCUAUCUCUUCCUUUCCUAUUAUUUUUUUUCUUCUUUUCCACCUUUUUUCUUCUUUCAUAUCCAGCCACACAUAUGUUCGGCAACCCACGACCAAACCCGUCGAAUUCCGGCAAUCCACGGCCAGAUCCGUCAAAUUCCGGCAACCCACGGCCUACUCCAUUCAGAUCCGGCCACCCCCUACGAACUCCGGCCAAAUCCCGCCACCAAAUGCCUCCGACUCAACGUUUUGUAUGGAAAACGGGCUCAUUGACAAGUUUCCGGGUUCACCGUUUCAGCCGGUCAAACCGGGUUUUUUACAUUUGACUCCCACGCCCCCACUACCAUGAAUUAAUGCCGUGGACACUGUGCAACAAGCACCAGAAUACAUCCAAAAAACGUCCGGUGAAAAGCUGAACGGAAAAACAUUGAUGCAAGAUGCAUUUCUUGUUUGCCAAAUGCCAAUAGCACCAAGAACUCAUCACAAACUCUACAUGACCCAUGCAUAAUCAGGGAAGACAGGAGUAUUUUUUUAUGAUAGAUUACACAUCAGGUCUCGCGUAAAUUUUGUUCGAGUUCAAAUUUGAGGCCUCAAUGCAACAGCGGUCUGAUCGAAACCAGCUUUCUGCAUCAAAGCACGUAAAUGUGAAUGAUAUUGAUCUCGAACGUAGUUACAGAAGAAAUAGCUUUUUUAACUUGUAUCGAAUUGAAAAAUUUGGUGGCUUUUUUCAAUUUUAAUGCAAAACUUAUUCAUUUUUUCUUUCGGUCUAUGUAUUAUAUGUUUUGACUAUUGUGGAAUCGUAUAUGAAUUUGGUGUUCUAAGCAUUUUCAGUGAGAAUUUAUUUGGAAUCUUCUGUUUU